GAUAUAGUCACACUAUCGACAUAACUCGUAUUGAUCAUCGUCAUAAAUAAUGAAUUCUAAUCUAUCGUAAAAAACCAUUGAAACAAGAAUGCACAUAGUCAUUGGCCUCGGCACUGGUAUUGGUGAUCAUAGAUCAACGCUCACAGUCUCCACUGUCAACCAUCAAACACAUCACAUUCCCGAUACUCCAUCGAUCCCACGGACACCACUGAUGUCCACAAUAUCAUCUGGAACUUCACUGGAAUCACCUCGAACAAUCGAUUACAGUUCGUCAACACAAUUCUACGAUCACACACUGGGAAUUUGCACAAUUGCAAACUGCCGUUGACUUUUUCGUGUACGAGGCAAACGACGGCACGAAGGAGUGAAACCGUCGGCUGCCAAUGGUUGGCAGUUGCUACUAACUCGCGGCCUCGUGGCUGUUUGGUUUAAGGUACAAGCGGCGCGCGGCAAAAUGUUAAAGUGAGAACGGAAGUUAUCGUGAAGCACAUGAGUAAGAAAGAGAAAGGGAUUAUUGAAAAGGCCUGGCUACGUGGUAACUCUGGGAAUUACUAUGCUGGUAACUAUACAGUGGUGAGACGGGAGGUGAAGACCGACUCGAUUCGCUUCUCCGAGGCACGAAGAGGCGAGACCAAUGCCAGAGACUCGAUCAGAUGGCCUUUGACACGUUUUGGAUGUGUGAGACGAUUUCAAGGCUGAGAAAAAGAAAUUGAAGGGAGAGAGAGAGAUGCAGUUGAAGAGAAAAUUAAACUUGAGAAGCCUCUAACUGUCAACAAGAUGAAACAAGCGUUUCUACGUGAAAGUCAAACCGCUUUGUUUUCGUGAUCAGAAAUUGUCUCACUUCGUGAUCAGGAACUCAUUCCACGCGUAAAACUGUAAUCAGAAACUCUCAAAGACUGAAUUCUUCAAAACUGUGAUUUCAAUUAAUUAACAAUUGGAUUUGAUUGACCUUUUUAUUGUUGCACCCCUUCCAUUGAGAUUGGGCUUAACUGAUCAGAAAUCACCUCAUAUCCCAGGUAGGAAAAAACGAAUGGGCCAACCUUGGUACAAGCACGGCCGCCGAGCUGCCGUAGCUCGGCACCCGGGCUCCAGCCAAACUCGCGCCGAACUUGGCUAGACCCUGGGAUGAUAACACGGGGCCAGGCCUGGGACCGAACUUUGGCCAGACUUCGGUCGCCGUACUUUGGCCGCACUCUGGGCUUACCAUUCGGCCCGAAAUUGGCCCAGGCCUGUUGCCGAACUUUGGCCGCACUCUGGGCUUACCAUUCGGCCCGAAAUUGGCCCAGACCUAUUGCCGAACUUUGGCCGCAUUCUGGGCUGACCAUUCGGCCCGAAAUUGGCCCAGAUUUACGACCAGAGCUGUGGCCAGGCUCCAACCGUUGCCUGUAUUGGGUUCAGAAUCACCAAUAAAUAUAUGAACGGUAUAUCUGAUAAGCAGACAUGUAUUUAUUACCUUCAACAUUAUACAGAAAACAGUUUUAUUAUGUGACAAAACUUAUAUUUAAAUUUAUUAAAUCUAUUGACAAAAAAACUCAGCCAAUCAAAAACUUUUUUCCUCCUAUCGACAUAGUACAUGUUUUCAUCCGAUUUUGGUUGAACAGUUAAAGAUAUGCAGUGUUUGUAUCUCCAAUUUUCAUGAAAGAUAAUCACAACUAUGAGAUUUUUCCGCGAACAGAAUAUGAAAACUCAAAAAAAUGAUUGCAGGUAUAAAUUGUAGAAAAAUCUUUUGUGGAUUAUUUUCAUCCGCUUUUAAAAUAAAUAAUCUACGUAGAUCAUUUGAAUCCGAAAUUUAAUACGACAUACCAUAUUAAGUCUUAAUAAACUCUCUCUUACAAUCUAAUAAUAUUAGCAGUCAGUCUUCAGAAUUCGAAGAUUGUAUUAACAAAAUAUCCAACAAAAUAACGCACCAAUGUUAUUUUUUAAAUUAGUAGUUUAGAAUUGAUAAAUUAUCGUGCUUCAAUUCAAGCAUGAAAACAGUCAUUAUAAUAGCAAUAUUAUGGAUAAUUUAUUCCGCUAUGGAUGAUAAGAAUUAAUUCUUAUAUCCAUAGACAAUUGCUGAUACGAAUUAUCCUGAUAAGAAUUAUUUUUUCAUCUCGGAAAGACGUCCUUUUUUUACAAUAAUGUCUUCUCCAUCUGCAACUCCGGAACACAGAAUGAUAUUUAGUUGCAUUGAUUGUGUGCUAGUUCUAUAUAAUAUUGCUUAUUAUAUUCACUCUUUCAAACAAACUUAGAAAUAUAAAAAAGUCUUGGAUAGGAUUACAUAUAACUAAUUAAUUUCAACCCUUAAAUUUGAAAUCUUUGGGGAAUAUGGACGCAGUCCGAUUGUGAAACUUCAACCUUAUAAAUAUUAUUUGACUUGAAUCACCAAAUACUGAAAACAGCUCUCAAUGGCUGAAAUUACUUUCAUUAGAAUUUUUCUUAAAAAUUAAAAAUCCACUUAUUAUUUUUCCCUUUAAACUUUUGGACAUAAUAUUUAAUCCCUGAACCAACAACGGAUAUUUAUUCCCGUGAUCUAACUUAUGAGGAAAUGACAUAGAAAAUACUUUAUUAUGCUAAGAUACAUCACAUUUUCCAAUUGUUAUUUCCAUCUUCUGGAUUUCCGACCUCGCCAGGAGAAAUAUAAUAAAUAUAAUUAAUACU